UGAUGGUGGAAGGUGUGAAGGUCUCCAAGGGCUUGACAGCUAUGGAUUAGGCCUCACUGCAUGGCUCUGCCAUAGAAGAACAUCAACCUGAUCUACUGGUGGGGAAACUGAGGCAUGGGGCAGAGACCAGGGAUGUGGAGCUGUGGUGCUGGCAAUGCUGAGCUGCCUUUGCCUGCAGAGAAGAGCUGAUGGUUGCAUGUCUGAGUCCAGGAACACAACAAUCCUGGAGUCCUCUUUCCCUGGCCUCCUUAAUCUGAUGGAGUCACCAUGCUGGCUUUUAUGAAAGAGGCCAAGAAGAUGGGAGAUGGUGUGAGCUCAGGCCAUGGGAGCUUUCACCGUCCAGCAUAAGCCACUGAACCUUGGUGACAGGGAUGGUGUUUCCUAGGGCUAUCAGCUUGGACAACCUGCAGCCACCCUUGGCAGCUGGCCAAUGCCUCCAUUGCACUUCAGCAGUGCUUAUUCCCCAGAUCUCUGUGUUUCCCCCUCACUUAUGCCCACAUCUUGUUCAGUUAAUCAAUGUGCCGAUUAAAGAAGCCCAGGCUCUGCACUGGCGCAACAGUGAGUCUCUGAGAGGGUUUUCAGCUUUGUUCUCCUCCGACAGCCCACCAGGGUGGAAAAUACGCAUCCAACAAAACAGGCUCCCUCUCUGGGCUGGGUUGCAGGGCUGCUUCCCCCAGUCAAUGUGCUCGUAUUGGAGGUGGAAAGAGGACUGUGAGGGGUCUGGGUAGGGCACCGCAGCUCCCAGCCCACAGGACCUGGGAGGCAUCCGCGCACAGCACAGCAUAGUGGUCCUGGAUGGUGCUGCUGAGCUGUCAGUGAUCUGCCUUGUCUUCCUUGCCAAGGGGCACGUGGCUCUGACCCAGCACAUCGCUGCAAUGUAUUUCAGGGACUGCAGCUGGGGUUUCCCUCCAGCUGUGUGGAAAUAUGCUUAAGGCUGGUCCACACCAAGUGGCAAAGGGCCUGCUAGGGCUUGUUCCUGGCCCAUGGCAGCAGGCAGCCCACGGGCAUGCAGUCUCUCUGCCCAGCAUCAGCAGCCACCCUUCUCCAUGGCAAGCCCUCUGAUGGAGUGGUAUUGUCCUCCAGCUCCCACACAGCCUGGUCCAGCACCAUCCCUGGCUCAUAUGUUGUAUGCCUUUAUCUUCUGUAUGGUUUUAUCUAAAGAUAGUGUCGUCUUUCCCUGCCCAACCCAAGUAUCUGCCCAUGGGGGUUCAA